AUAAAUCUUUCCAAUGUGAGCAGAUGAUCAGCAACUAACUAUAAAUCCUUAACUAUUUUACCUUUGUUUUAGACAUGUAAUAUGGUCGAAGUAUGAGUUAUUUUCUUUUCAAUAUAUCAUUAAACUCAAUUUAUCAUGCACAAAACUUUGACACGUCAUUAUUCACAGACACAGCGCAUAGAAGAGCAAGGUGUCGUGAUUUAUCAGAGCGACAGAAAAUGGACAGAAGAUGAGAGAAUGAAAAUGGCGAACUCUGCUUUACAGACUGGUGACAGGGAGUGACAUGAUUAA